ensembl:snoRNA small nucleolar RNA SNORD50
UAUCUAUUAUGAUCCUAUUCCUAACCUGAAUUUCUGUUGAAAAAUGUUAAUACAGAUCUGGUUUCUGAGAU